CACAACAAGCAGAAGCGACCCGCUUCUCACCUGUUCGACUGAAAUGUUGGCAGGUUCAUGAAUGAUAAGUGCUGAGGAGAUCAAUGCGGGCGACCUGUGCCCGCAUUUUUUGAUGGGU
rfam:Caldalkalibacillus thermarum TA2.A1 ctg159, whole genome shotgun sequence.